rnacentral:misc_RNA from 1 species
CAAAAGUUGAAAUCCGUACCUCCUCCUCCUGAGACAAAACGAAUAACUGUUCUUAGACCAACAAAGAUGGUGGAUAAUAGUAGAUUUGGUGAAUCAGGAAACAAAAAUGAAAAAGAGAUGAAGAGAGCCACCCAGGUGGGUCAGGGAAACAGGGUAGACGAAAGCCAUUGUCCGGUUUCCCCUCCUGCACCAGGGUGGAAUGAUGAAAAUCCUGCUCAGCCGACAAGGAUUGUGGUGUUGAAACCAAGUCUUACCAAGACACGCAACUGCAUGGCUGCAAGUUCUCCACCUUCAGCAUCACCGAGAGUAUCAGAAGCUGAAAUGAAGUAUGUAAACAUAGAGGAUAAUGAAGCUCAGGAUUCAGGAGAAGUGGCCUUAUCA